rnacentral:rRNA from 1 species
CACGGCGCACGGGUGCGUAACACGUGGGCAAUCUGCCCUCCGAUGGGGAAUAACCCCGCGAAAGCGGGGCUAAUACCGCAUAACAUUCCUUGGGCUUCGGUCCGAGGAUUCAAAGCAGUGAUGCGUCGGAGGAGGAGCCCGCGCCCGAUUAGCUAGUUGGUGAGGUAAUGGCUCACCAAGGCAAUGAUCGGUAGCUGGUCUGAGAGGAUGAUCAGCCACACUGGAACUGAGACACGGUCCAGACUCCUACGGGAGGCAGCAGUGGGGAAUCUUGCACAAUGGGCGAAAGCCUGAUGCAGCGACGCCGCGUGGGGGAUGAAGCAUUUCGGUGUGUAAACCCCUUUCGACUGGGACGAAUGCCUCGCAAGAGGAGUGACGGUACCAGUAGAAGAAGCCCCGGCUAACUACGUGCCAGCAGCCGCGGUAAGACGUAGGGGGCCAGCGUUGUUCGGAAUUACUGGGUGUAAAGGGUUCGUAGGCGGUGCGGCAAGUUGGGAGUGAAAUCUCUGGGCUUAACCCAGAGGCUGCUUCCAAAACUGCUGUGCUCGAGUGUGGGAGAGGCGCGUGGAAUUGCAGGUGUAGCGGUGAAAUGCGUAGAUAUCUGCAGGAACACCCGUGGCGAAAGCGGCGCGCUGGACCACUACUGACGCUGAGGAACGAAAGCUAGGGGAGCAAACAGGAUUAGAUACCCUGGUAGUCCUAGCCCUAAACGAUCAGGACUUGGGGUGCCACCCGUUCGGGUGUCGUCCCGGAGCUAACGCGUUAAGUCCUGCACCUGGGGAGUACGGUCGCAAGACUGAAACUCAAAGGAAUUGACGGGGGCCCGCACAAGCGGUGGAACAUGUGGUUCAAUUCGA